rnacentral:rRNA from 1 species
AAAUGAAUUGACGGGGGCCCGCACAAGCGGAGGAACAUGUGGUUUAAUUCGAUGAUACGCGAGGAACCUUACCCGGGCUCGAACGGUGCAUGAAUGAUUCAGAGAUGGAUUAGUCCUUCGGGACAUGUAUCGAGGUGCUGCAUGGUUGUCGUCAGCUCGUGCCGUGAGGUGUCGGCUUAAGUGCCAUAACGAGCGCAACCCUUGUCGUUAGUUGCCAUCAGGUAAUGCUGGGAACUCUAGCGAGACUGCCACCGUAAGGUGCGAGGAAGGGGGGGAUGACGUCAAAUCAGCACGGCCCUUACGUCCGGGGCGACACACGUGUUACAAUGGCAGGUACAGAGGGCAGCUACCCAGCGAUGGGGUGCGAAUCUCGAAAGCCUGUCUCAGUUCGGAUCGGAGUCUGCAACUCGACUCCGUGAAGUUGGAUUCGCUAGUAAUCGCGCAUCAGCCAUGGCGCGGUGAAUACGUUCCCGGGCCUUGUACACACCGCCCGU